UACACUCCUGCGGGAGGCAGCAGUGGGGAAUUUUGGACAAUGGGCGAAAGCCUGAUCCAGCAAUGCCGCGUGUGUGAAGAAGGCCUUCGGGUUGUAAAGCACUUUUGUCCGGAAAGAAAUCCUUGGCUCUAAUACAGUCGGGGGAUGACGGUACCGGAAGAAUAAGCACCGGCUAACUACGUGCCAGCAGCCGCGGUAAUACGUAGGGUGCGAGCGUUAAUCGGAAUUACUGGGCGUAAAGCGUGCGCAGGCGGUUUGCUAAGACCGAUGUGAAAUCCCCGGGCUCAACCUGGGAACUGCAUUGGUGACUGGCAGGCUAGAGUAUGGCAGAGGGGGGUAGAAUUCCACGUGUAGCAGUGAAAUGCGUAGAGAUGUGGAGGAAUACCGAUGGCGAAGGCAGCCCCCUGGGCCAAUACUGACGCUCAUGCACGAAAGCGUGGGGAGCAAACAGGAUUAGAUACCCGGGUAGUCCCAUG
rnacentral:rRNA from 1 species